CAGUAGCCCGGUAAUACGAAGGGGGCUAGCGUUGCUCAGAAUGACUGGGCGUAAAGGGCGCGUAGGCGGAUGGCACAGUCAGAUGUGAAAUUCCCGGGCUUAACCUGGGGGCUGCAUUUGAUACGUGUUGUCUAGAGUGAGGAAGAGGGUCGUGGAAUUCCCAGUGUAGAGGUGAAAUUCGUAGAUAUUGGGAGGAACGCCGAUGGCGAAGGCAGCCACCUGGUCCACUUCUGACGCUGAGGCGCGAAAGCGUGGGGAGCAAACCGGAUUAGAUACCCCUGUAGUCCCUGUCUCUUAUACA
rnacentral:rRNA from 1 species